rnacentral:lncRNA from 1 species
CGAGAGAGAAGAAAGAGGGGAAAGCCACUAGGCGACGAGAAGGGAAGCGAGACGAGGGACGAAGCGGGGCGAAAGGUAAAAGCUUCUGUUUCCAUGCUUUCGGAACUGUCCAAAGAGACUCGACGCACAGCUGGUUGGUGCAUCAGGCAGAAACAUAAGUGGAGAACACGCAGAAGACGUCCUUUGCCUGCUUGAAAAGAAGGGUUAGGGGAAGAUGCGAAGACGCACGUGUAGGAAAGAAAAAGCAAAACUUUAGGCAUCCAACGGGAACAGAAAACGAAAAAAGACGAGACAGAUGAAACGUUUGUACAUUCAACAGGGAAGAAACAAGAGUGAUGCGUUUUCAAUUGAGGAACACCAGCAUUGACGCCAGUACUAAUGCCCACUUGCUGUUUCACACAAGAGCUAGCACACAAGCGCGGAUGGCCCAGCAGCAAGACACAUUCGUUGCUUGCUGUAUCCCUUUUCCAUUCUUUCUCAUCCAACAUAAAACCACAGAAACACACACAUGCGUGUGGGAUAUACCCCGUUCCUGUGUGGGUUCAUACGAGAGACAUGCAGCUGUCCGUUCUCUCCGGUCGUCGUCGCUUUCUUGACAACGCGUUCUUUUCGCUUCGCUGUUGCAACGAUGGUCUCUCUUUCCACAGGUUUGUGCGCUUAGGAAAUGCGACGCCCAGAUGGGGUUUGAAGGACAAAGGGAGUUCCUCUGUCAUCGUCCAACUCGAGGAGAUCGGGAAAGGAGACUGGCAGCGCGACUCCCGAUUUGCUGCGAGGAGGGCAACCUUUUGGGGUCACACCAAAUGCUGAAGAGAUAGACAAAACGAGGAGACACACACAGUAAAUAUGAUAUGCACGCACACACACACAAACAGGCUAUAUAUAUACAUUCCUUUGCAUUCAUCCGUGUUCAUAUCUGCCUUCUGCUUCGUUUUCCUUUUCCGGGUUCUUCAGACGCAAACGGCCUUCAACCAGAAUUGCCGGUUUCGGGACGGGAUCCCCUGCAUUCCGAAAUCUAGUCUCUCCUUCCUUUCGUAGGAAUUUUCGCCUGAAGUUUUGCAAACCGAGCUGCUUCUUCUUUUCCCUCUUUACGUUUCCUGGCAUUUCCUCACCGAAGGUCUGUGACUCGUAGAAAUCUCCAAACCGCGUGUUGCCGUCGUCGAGCGUACGCUUCAAAUGGAGACGGUUCAGGCGCGAGGUCCCUGCCUUCCACCAGGCCGGAUUGGGGCUGAAACGAACGGAACGAAAAACAGCGAAAACGAAGGCCAAACAGUUGGGAGUCUCUUUUCACCUUCAUCCCAGCUGAUCUCUCGCCACAACAUCUCCCAUUUCCGCAGCAACGGGAACAAGAAACAGAGACAACCAACACUUGUUUUCCGGUUCCGUCCUUUCCUCCCGACUUUCUUCGCUUCCUUCGUUCCAUCUAGACACCUGAUUGCUGAAAGACCUCACGCUUGAUGUCUCCGCUUUUUUCACUACGUGAGGAAGCGCCUCUCGCCAAUGCCAACUCCGUCCACUUCUUUCACGCACCUGAUCGACGGCGAAAACCCGACCGGAGGAAGCUCUAGGGCGCUGCCGCCCUUGUCGGCGCGCCUCAACUUGAGGCUGGGGUCGAUGCGCCCGCGAACAAAUCUGCGAGAAAGAGAAAACAUCAAAGAGCAAACAUCAAGACAGCAACAAGAUGCAAGCACUGCCGCAGGCUCGACGAAGGCGAAACAACGGCGGAAAAAAGUCGCGGAAAGGGUCUGUAUCGAUGAUCGUGUUUGCAACGCACGCGGCCGCACGCGUCUCCACUGUAGUACAAAUCUCUUCAAAAAUAAGAAACGCUGGCAGGUCUGCCUUCCUUUUAGAUCGUAGAUGGACGCAUGAGCGCAUCUCCCGGUCCUCCCCGCUGGUUUCUCCGCAUCGUUUCUCGUUUUCCUUUCCUCACAGGAAGGCUCCUUCUUUGCCGGACGGGCCUUUGAGUUUGCCAACGCCGUGAGGCAAAUCGUUGUCCCAGUCUCCUUCGUAGAAGCAGAACUCUCCUGCAUCAGUUGUUUCGUUGAGGAAGGUGAACCGGCCCUUUCCGUGUCUCUUGCCUUUGCGAAUUUCUCCUUCAUAAGUGCCUUCUUCUGUACACACAGCGGGAAAGGCGGAGAAGAGACAAACGACAGGCUGAACAGACGCUGUGAACCACGCGGGAACAACUUCGAACAUCUGGAGUUGCAUCUAUAUACACACCAACGCAUGCACGCGCAUAUAGGUAUAUAUAUUUAUAUGUUAGUCUGCAUGCAAAUCUGAAUCUAUAUACGAACAUAUGCCUGCCAUCAUAUACUCCCGUGUAUCACCACGCUCAGCUUGCACCGGCUGUCUCGAUAUGUCAGUUUUCUACCCUCGAUCUACUCGGACUUGUUGUUUCUCCACAUGACCCACCGAACAAAACUUCGGCUUUCGAUUUUUGGCUUUCUUGAUUGGACUCACCAUUGACGAACGUGCCGCGUCCAUCGGGGACAUCAUCUCGCCACAGACCGUCGUAGACGACCGUGUUGUUCCGGAUGAGAGUGCCGUGACCCUCCCGCUUUCCGUG